UCGUUGAGGACAGUAACUGCAGAACAAUGUGUGUUUUCACGUUCGAGUCUCCAAAAGUCUUCAAUAACACCAGAAAAAGUCGCUAGAUUUGUCGCUAGUCGCUUUUUUGAAAAAAGAUCGCUAGAGGGGUCUGAAAAGUCGCUAAAUAUAGCGACAAAGUCGCUAAGUUGGCAACACUGGUUCAUUUAACUCAUGUCUGUAAGUUAUCAGUUAAAAAAAAGAAAAGGGGAUAGAGUGGGCGAUUCCUAUAGGUGGGCACCAUUUUUGAGUUAGACAGAACAAUAAUAUUUUUUUAAACGUUAAAACCAUGGGAGCAUGGGGCUUACCAAUUUUUUUUCACAGACGGAAAGCCAUUAAUAUUAAUACUGAUAAAAACAAGAAUAACACACGUUAUACGAUAGUGGAGUACUUUUAGCGGCGGAGGGACACACCUGACUCUGGACUACAGUUUGAGGCAAAUUGAGUGCGGAUUGAUAAACCGAGUGGAGUCUGGCAAGUUGGAGCGUUUACUACUGAAAGCAUUAAUGGCGGGAAGCAGAGUUCUGAAGGUCCCUUUCAUGAAGUGGAAAUGGCCAAGGAAGAAUACCACAGCACUACAAAGAGCAGAUUUAUUCCUAAUCAACAUUUAUGGAACCUGUUUGCAAUAAAUGUGUUAAAAAGUG